UACAGAGGUGGCAAGCGUUGUUCGGAAUUACUGGGCGUAAAGGGCGCGUAGGCGGUUCGUUAAGUCCUGUGUGAAAUCCCCCGGCUCAACUGGGGAACUGCACAGGAAACUAGCGGGCUUGAGUUCGGGAGAGGGAAGCGGAAUUCCGGGUGUAGCGGUGAAAUGCGUAGAUAUCUGGAGGAACACCGGUGGCGAAGGCGGCAUCCUGGACCGACACUGACGCGUGAGGAG
rnacentral:rRNA from 1 species